CACCAGGUCGACACACCGGUGGUUGCCCUCCCCGACGUCCUUGGCCGGCCGAGGCACGGCGAGCUGCUGCUCCUGCUGCCAGCGACGUCCACGACCACGACCUUCUGCUGCAAUCAACCUCACCAAACUCCUGCUGCCGGCUAGGCGUGGAUCUGAUGUGCUGGCUAAGUGUAGAUCUAUUUGCAACCUUUCUUUCAUCUGGAGAAUGUAACCCUGGUCGUGGAGGUGAGGGGCGUUCCGUUUUGAGUGAGGACUGGCGAUAGGUAGAGAUGGCAAACUGCAAGGGCCUUGGCGGUGAGGGAAGUUUGGCGGCGGUGUUGUCGCAUGUUCUUGCGGUGGACUACAUCUCGGAGGACUGCGCAUCAUCUCCAGCAUCUCCAUAGCGUGCAUGUGUGCAGUGACCGUCAUGGACUGCGGGAAGAGGGUGCUGGAACUUGUGAGCUCGGUAUGUUCUCUUGUUACUGAACAUUGAUGGCUUGAUUCAUCCUAUAUGUUCUCUUUUUACUGAACAUUGAUGGCUUGAUUCAUCCUAUAUGUUCUCUUUUUACUGAAUAUUGAUGGCUUCAUUCAUCCUAAUUUUCUUUCGGACAUUGUUGUGCUUUGAAUGUGUCAUGUGUUAUUGGGUUGUAGGAGGCGAAUGUGUGCAUGGUAAUCGCUGACUACUAGAUGCCGGAGAUGACUGGGCACAAGCACCUCUAGAAGGUCAAGGUAAGUCCAUCUCGUCAAAAUCCAUAAUAUACUAUGCAUGUACAGAAAAUUAUUUGUUAUUACUCUUUUUCUAUUUGUGAUGAACCAGAUCCUGGACAAGGGAUGUUAAGCACGAUUGUGUCAGGGCAUCCAUUUCUGGAACCUUUGCAGUGUCCUGUUCCUUUCAACUACGUUUCAUUUACUUCCAGCCAAGCACAGCUUCUCUGUGUUGGCUGCUGCCUGCAAUGAAUACUUUAUUAUUUUUGCCGCUAGAAUUAUUGUUGUACCAAUUGACAACAACAUUUGCUCCUGUGUUCUGUUU